rnacentral:rRNA from 1 species
UACGUAGGGUGCAGGCGUUAAUCGGAAUUACUGGGCGUAAAGCGCGCGUAGGCGGUUACUUAAGUCGGAUGUGAAAGCCCUCGGCUUAACCGAGGAAGUGCAUCCGAAACUGAGUAGCUAGAGUACUAAAGAGGGUCGCGGAAUUCCCGGUGUAGAGGUGAAAUUCGUAGAUAGUCGGGAGGAACACCGGUGGCGAAGGCGGCGACCUGGGUAGAUACGUGACGCUGAGGCGCGAAAGCGUGGGGAGCAAACAGG